GCAGCAGCAGGGGUGGGGGGGAGAAGCUGAUGACGUAGUUGGAGAGGGGAAAAAGAAUUAUAAUGUAAUGAGCGAAGAACAAAAGACUCUAGGCUUGCCACGUGACAAAAUCGAUAGCAGUAAUUACACACACAGAUCCAAUCAGAGAAGACCAUCUAAAGUACACGAGAGAGCUGCUAAGUGAUGCGGCUGGGAUUUUGCUCUUCAGCUUCCCGUUUGGGAUUCUAAGAGGCAGGCGUUCUCUUCGCUUCUCUUUCUCUACGAAAAGACUCCCUUUUGGUUGAGGAAUUUGAGGCGGUUUUUUUCCCAACCUAAAGCAGAGAAGAUUAUGUGCUUACUGUGUUCUUCAAGAAGAGUUCGCCAACACCAUUGACUGAUAUACGAGGAAAAUUUGUAAAAGGAUCUGCCGUUCGUUCAAAUUUAAAUUCAAGCUGGCGUCUUCUUCUCAGGCAAGCGAUAAAACCUUGCAAAUAAGCUCCGCAUUUAUCUGUGCAUCUGGAUUAAACAGAGCUCUGAAGCUUCUGAGGCGGUGCAGGGGGAAAGGUUUCAUUUCAUUUAAACCUUUCUAAGAAAAGAACCUCAGUCAGUCAGUCAAGGCAAUUCUUUUUUUGUCAGUAGAUUCCAACGAUGGUUUAAAGAUUGGUAAAGUCGAUGGUUUCCUUUCAGAGUGGAUGAAGAUGAGGAAUCAAUUGAGUUUGGAUGGAAAGGAGGAAGAAUUCUUGUUUCUUGUGAUAAAGCAUAAGGAAUUCGAUGUCGUCGGAAUCGGAGAAAGGCGAUUGGCGCAUGCGCAAUGGACUGUAUGUAACAGAAACGACUAAAUUUGAAAUGCCAUGAAAUGCUGUAGAUCGAUGAGGCAUUUUUGGGCUUCGCCAAGAUAUCCAAUUGGGUUACAUUCAUCGAAAAAUGUAAAGCGCGGUACCAAGAAAUAUGGAAUGGAUUUGUCUUUUUCUAUCGCAUCCGGACGAAGAAAGAAAAUAUCUUUGGAGGAUUCGAAAAGAAAUUUCUUCUUUCUUUAGAGCAUCAAUGAUGCAGUGUGCAAUUGCUUAGAUUCUGUUGAACAUUUCGCCAUUGGAGGAAAAAAUAUCUUGAUCACAUUUCCAGACUAAUAUAAACUGAAUUAUAUUUAAUCAAACCAAAAAAAGGAAAAAUAUAAUCAUCUGUGGAUAUUGAUAUUAUAAAGAAAUUGAAUUCGAUGCCAGAGGAUAUUUGAUAAGAGAUUUAUAAAGAAAAUCAAAGAAGUCAUCUAGCUAAACUCAGAAGAAAGUGCUCAUAAUUUUGAAACUCAUUGGUAAAUCAAUAAUUGAAGCUAGUAUAUUAUUUUUGAAGAAAUAAAUUCAUUGCCCAAAAAAAUUCAAGUAUGCAAGAAAGCAUGAAAUGCUUUUGUUGGCAAAUAUUUAAAUAUUGCAAACUUUUCAGUGAGCUCAAUAAUCAAUUCUAUUUUAAAAUCUUUCUUCAAAACUUCUGAGCAAUUUUAGAGUAAAUACCAAACUGAAAAUUUUUGUAAGAAAUUAAAAAAUUCUUGACUUAUGUACAGAUAAACUGAGGAAACUGCAAAAGAUUAAAUGAAUUAAAUGAGCCAAACUCGCUUUAGAUGGUUGAAAAACCAAGAGAAACAAAAAGAAACGGUGCAGUCUGUAACCCUAUUUGAUAUGCUUGAUAAGACUUCAUAUGAUACCAUCGCGCCAAUCUGUCUCAAUAUGAAGACUUGAGUCCUUGAAGAAGUAAAAUACAAUUAAUCACAAAAUAAAAAUAUCAAAAAAGCGAGGCUUAUCUGGAAUUUUUUUCAUCUAGGAAUAAAAGAAAAUUAAACAAAUUGUCAACGAAUGGCAAGGGAAGCAAUAAAAAAAAAGUUUAUAAAAUAAAGUCAAGGAGCAUUUCAUGGCAAUCAAAGAAGAUAUAUGCUGAGAUAUUUAGAAAAGGCAGAAUGUGAAGACAUUCAAUCAUUAUUUCAUAUUACCUUGAGUAUUUUACAGCUUUUUAGAAUUCAUAACAUUUCUCUCUUCAUUUAAAAAAAACCAUGCAAUUCGUAGCAUAUUUUUUGAAAUUAUAAUUCAGAGGUAUACUUCUUCAUCAAGAAUGCGAAAAAAGUUGAAAUUUUCCCAAACAAGCAAAUAAUUGCUUCAAGAUGAAUGAAAAAAUUUUCGUUCUCAUCUAGUUAUUUCAUAUCUUUAUGCAAUUUAACUACUUCGACUAUAUAAUUUAUUGGAAAAAAUAUUUUCAUGAAAAUUUUUUCUAGAGAGAAAAAAAUACAUCGAAAUAUCGAAAAAUACAAUCUAGUUUCGAUUAUUCAACUUUUGAGCGAAAAAAAAUUCUCUGAAAUGUAUGCAGUGUAGAAGAAAAGCUUUCAAGCUGUCAAAAUAAUUUUAAGUGUCAAGUUUAUUUUGAGGUUUUUUUUCCAAAGAAUUUCGACAUGUAUAGCAAAUUAUGAAAGUAAAUCAUCGUAGAAUCUACGAGAAGAAAACGAAGUGAUAUUGGUGCCAUAACAUGUUUAUUAAUUGCACCAACAUAAAAUUUCGAUUCAAUUUAUUCCAAAGGAAGUGAGAUUUAAAAUAUCUUGGCAUAUUGUUGAAGAAUGUGGAAUGGUUUUAAGGAAAAAAAAAUUAUAGAAUUAAUUUUUUUAAAAUUAAAAAUAUAAUCACUUUAAAAGAAUAUUCAAUUUCGUAAUUAUUAAGGUACCUAAAAAGACUGAUUAAGAAUUAUUAUUGUGUUAAAUGAAAAUAAAAUGGAAUCAUGUUAUUAUUAAGGUUUAAAUGUAAUAUAUGCAAAUAGGAUGAUUUAGAAUUCAUAGAUGUUUAGCAAGGUUAUUGAAUAUUGUAGUUUGCAUUAUCUAUAGAAUAUAUUUGCAGCGAAUAGGAAUCGUAACAUGUGUUUUUGAACUUAUCAUCUGUUAGUAAUUCUAGUCAAUGUAUAUAGUAGGGAAGGAAUGCGCAGUUCGAAUCAAUGUUGAAAUAGAUUAUAAUCUGAAAAGAAUCAUCAAAUAUUCAAGAUAGCAGAAAAAUUCACUAAGAACAUUCCAGAUUAUGUAAAUAUCAAAAACAUUGAAGACUAUUACAGUAAGCGCGUUAAGCGAUCAAGUAGUUUUGGACAAAAAAAAUGUUAGAUUCUUAUACUUAUGCUACUCAUGCAAGGGCAGAUUAUAAAAGCCUACAUCUGAAAAGCAUUCUCUUUAGAAACAAUCUCUACCAUUGUAUGAAGAACAUAGAGAUUAUGCGGAGAGAAUAGAUGUUCAAUGGCAAUAAUUUAUAUACCUAGUUGAUUAUAAUGUGAAGAAGAUAACAUGGGAAACGCAUGGAAAAUUUAUGUGAGAAGAAUAUUACUUCAAGAAUAUAAGAAGCACUGAAUGAGAUUUCGUGGACGUUGGUUUCCAUCGGAUUUUGAAGAAAAUAAGAAGAAAGGCUCUAUAGGCUGAUUGCAAUAAUAAACACCUGGUGUUUAGUUCCUAAUAGGAUACGACGUAUCCA